AGCGGAGGGGAGCGACCGCCAGCGUCGGCGCCAGAGAAGAAUUCAUGGCCGGAGGUGGUCGGCCUGUCGGAGGAGGAGGCCAAGAAGAAGAUCACAGAGCACAAGCCCGACCCCAGCGUCCACGUCGUUCCGUCCGACGCCUUCGUCACCAUGGAUUACAACACCGGCCGAGUCAGGUUCGUCGACUCCAACAACAAGAUCACGAAAGCUCCCAGGAUUGGCUAG
rnacentral:rRNA from 1 species